rnacentral:rRNA from 1 species
UCUAAGGUUUCCUGAGCUAGGUCAGUCCGCUCAGGGUCAGUCGGGCCUAAGGCCAGGCCGAAAGGCGUAGCCGAUGGGAAACGGGUCAACAUUCCCGUACCGCCAUGCAACGAUAAAGACCGAUGGGGUGACGCAGAAGGGCAGUUCAGCCUACGAUUGGUUGUGUAGGUUCAAGGAUGUACGAAGGCUUUGUUGGUAAAUCCGUGAAGCUUUUUCCGAGAUCCGAUGUCGAGGGCUUCGGCCCGCAAAGUGAACGAUCCCAUGCUGCCAAGAAAAGCCUCUAAGGAGUUGUAGGGUGACCGUACCGCAAACCGACACAGGUAGGUGAGGAGAAAAUCCUAAGGCGCUAGUGAGAAUUCUCGUUUAGGAACUAGGCACAUUAACCCCGUAACUUCGGGAGAAGGGGUGCUUCUUUGGGUCAGGAGACUUGCUUUCCAAAGCCCAAGGGAGCCGCAGCGAAUCGGCUCAGGCGACUGUUUACUAAAAACACAGGGCUCUGCAAAGUCAUAAAAACGACGUAUAGGGUCUGACGCCUGCCCGGUGCCGAAAGGUUAAAGAGAGGGGUUAGACGCAAGUCGAAGCUCUGAACUGAAGCCCCGGUAAACCGCGGCCGUAACUAUAACGGUCCUAAGGUAGCAAAAUUCCUUGUCGGGUAAGUUCCGACCUGCACGAAUGGCGUAACGAUCUGAGCGCUGUCUCAACGAGGAGCACUGCGAAUCUGUAGUACCGGUGAAGAUGCCGGUUUCCCGCAACUAGACGGAAAGACCCCGUGCACCUUUACUGCACCCUAGCCUUGAACUUGGGUGCGUUCUGCGCAGGAUAGGUGGGAGGCUUUGAACCCGGGAUUUUGGUCUCGGGGGAGCCAACGGUGAGAUACCACCCUUAACGCACUUAGGUUCUAACCUGCUCCCCUAUAUCGGGGAGAGAGACACGGCUAGGCGGGUAGUUUGACUGGGGCGGUCGCCUCCCAAAGAGUAACGGAGGCGCUCGAAGGUUCCCUCAGGCUGUUUGGAAAUCAGCCGGCGAGUGUAAAGGCACAAGGGAGCUUGACUGCGAGACCUACAAGUCAAGCAGGUGCGAAAGCAGGACUUAGUGAUCUGGUGGUUCCGCAUGGAAGGGCCAUCACUUAACGGAUAAAAGGUACGCCGGGGAUAACAGGCUGAUCUGGUCCAAGAGUUCACAUCGACGACCAGGUUUGGCACCUCGAUGUCGGCUCAUCGCAUCCUGGAGCUGUAGAAGGUUCCAAGGGUUGGGCUGUUCGCCCAUUAAAGCGGUACGUGAGCUGGGUUUAGAACGUCGCGAGACAGUUCGGUCCCUAUCUGUUGUGGGCGAAGGAGAUUUGAGGGGAGCUGUCCUUAGUACGAGAGGACCGGGAUGGACGAACCUCUAGUGCACCAGUUGUCACGCCAGUGGCAUCGCUGGGUAGCUACGUUCGGUAGGGAUAAACGCUGAAAGCAUCUAAGCGUGAAGCCCACCCCAAGAUGAGAUCUCCCGCAGGGUAACCUGCCUAAAGACCCCUGGAAGACUACCAGGUUGAUAGGCCCGAGGUAUAAGAGUCGAGCGCAAGCACAGACUUUCAGCUGACGGGUACUAAUCGGUCGUGAGGCUUGACCAC